GAUAAUGUUUGACCCGAUGAAGAUAUCUGUCUACAAAGGUGAAAUGCUACACAAAAUAUAUUAAAUUAAGUCAAAUCUGAACGUUUUACAUAUAAUACAUUUUAAAACCAGGAUUAACUUGUGUUAAAUGCAACAUAAAUCUUUCAUUUCUGAAUAUGUUCAUCUGUUUCUUUGCAUGACUCUGCCACGGUUUGAGCGCCACAAUGGUGAAUAUGAUUGUGGAAGAGAAUUCCAGAGAUGAGGAGCAGCACAGUUUAACGUCCCGGACCCCAUAAACGAAUGAACAGGGGACAACAAGGAAACCGCUGAAGAAGAUCUAAGAGGAUGCUUGUACAAGCAUGACUGUGGAACUGGAUGUGAGGAAAGGACGAAGACGGCUGACGUUCAAAAUAUGUGCAGACAUACUGUUCACAUGCUUUUCAAAAGAGGAAGUACUUUCAAGGAUGACAGCCAGACUCAACCUGAGAAGAUGAAGAGAUUAUAGAAUUAUCAAUGGAGAGUGAAAAGCAAAUGAAUUAUUGAAAAGUUGAAUUUGGUGCCAACAAGAAGAACCUCUGUUUUAUUCAUAUUCAGCUUGAGACGACUGUGUGAAAAUCUCUUCCAGACAAUCCAAGAGACAGGAAGAAAGAAGAGCAGAAUUUGGCUUGGAGGACAAAUAGAGCUGGGUGUCGUCAGUCUGCAUUUUUGUUCCAUUGUUGCUGGCAAUGACAUUGCUUAAUGUUGUUUCAGAACAUAGUUGUAAGACCAUCACCUUCUAACUACCCACAAAAGAUCUACGCCAGUUCAUAAGCCAGCACUGUUACACUCUCCAUCAGACAGGAAUCAAUACACAUAAGUAGUUGUCGUGACAGGCCUAUAUAUAAACUCUGUACUAAAUAGAUUUUUACCCAUGAAUUUGAAGGACUCGGGAAUCUCUGUUUAAUCUCUUUUGAGAGUUGGAUCAAUGAUGUAUAAUAAUAUGGCUGUCCACUCUGAGAUCUGGCACGAACAUCAGCUGCUUUUGUGGAAGAAGCUGUAAGAAGUGUGUCUGGCUGGACUGAGUGCCAACCUUGGAUGUGUUACACAGAUGGUUUCUCUGAAGCCCGUUACCUGAGCUCCAGAUUGGUUCGGGAUUAAUUAAAACACAAGGAAAAGAAGUGAACACCACCAUCGAGAAAAAUGGCCAAAACUAAUGCUUUCCCCCCACUUUUUUCUUCUUCUUUUCUUUCUUGGUGUAUUGUCAGUCACCUUUCUUCCAUUGGCUUCCCCCUCUCAGACCAAAAUAAAAAGUCCCUCUGGGGCAAAUUAUUUGUAAAAGAACCGUUUUCAUUCAUCCAAAAGAUACAAAAGCAUCCUCCUCCAUAGUUGGUUUUAGU